rnacentral:sRNA from 1 species
CUUGGUCAUUUAGAGGAAGUAAAAGUCGUAACAAGGUUUCCGUAGGUGAACCUGCGGAAGGAUCAUUCAUAAUAAGUGUUUAUGGCACUUCUUAAAUCCAUAUCCACCUUGUGUGCAAUGUCAGCCGUUUUCUUUAUGAAAGCGGCCAAACAUCAACUUAUUUUUUAACUGUCUGUCUGAAAACUAUUAUGAAUAAACAAUUCAAAUACAACUUUCGACAACGGAUCUCUUGGCUCUCGCAUCGAUGAAGAACGCAGCGAAAUGCGAUACGUAAUGUGAAUUGCAGAAUUCAGUGAAUCAUCGAAUCUUUGAACGCAUAUUGCGCUCUUUGGUAUUCCGAAGAGCAUGCUUGUUUGAGUAUCAGUAAACACCUCAAAGCCUUCAAUUCAGUUUGAAAGCUUUGGACUUGAGCAAUCCCAACAUCAGUCUCGCGACUAACGGAGGGCUGCUUGAAAUGCAGGUGCAGCUGGACAUUCUUCUGAGCUAUAAGCAUAUUUAUUUAGUCCCGUCAAACGGAUUAUUACUUUUGCUGCAGCUAACAUAAAGGGAGUCUGACCGUAUUGGCUGACUGAUGCAGGAUUUCACAAGGGCUGGCAACAGCUUCUUGUAAAACUCGAUCUCAAAUCAAGUAAGACUACCCGCUGAACUUAAGCAUAUCAAUAAGCGGAGGAAAAGAAACUAACAAGGAUUCCCCCAGUAACGGCGAGUGAAGCGGGAUGAGCUCAAAUUUAAAAUCUGGCUGGUUUACUAGUCCGAAUUGUAGUUUAUAGAAGCGUUUUCGGUGGCAGCCUGGGUAUAAAUCCUUUGGAAUAGGGUAUCAUAGAGGGUGAGAAUCCCGUCUUUGACUCAGUGCAUGCUACUAUGUGAUACGUUUUCAAAGAGUCGAGUUGUUUGGGAAU